rnacentral:rRNA from 1 species
AUGAAUGCCCUAGUUUGGAACUGCCGGGGGGGGGGGAACCGCUGGACAGUUUGUGAGGUUUUGGCCCUCUCAAAAGCCAAUAACCCCAAGCUUGUCUUCCUGUGCGAGACUAGGCAAGCUACUGUGAAAAUAGAAAAGUUACGUUGGAGACUUGGUCUGAAAGGUUUUCAUGGUGUGAGUAGUGAUGGGAGGAGUGGGGGCUUAGCACUCUUCUGGGAUGAGUCCCUCUCGAUCACGGUGAAUGAUUCUUGUAAUCGUUAUAUUGAUGUCAGUGUGGUCGAUGGUGGAUCAGGCACAUCUUGGCGGUGCACCUUUGUCUAUGGAGAGCCCAGGGUGGAAAACUGCUAUUGUAUGUGGGAGCACAUCUGCCGGCUUCGAGCUUUCUCGCGCGAGCCGUGGAUGGUGUGCGGCGACUUCAAUGAAGCUUUGUGGCAACAUGAACAUCUAUUAAGGACAGAACGCUCGGAAGCUUAG